GUAAUUUGCAGGAGUCAGGGGAUCAAAGGUCAAAAUUAACAUCAUUUGAGAGUAAGAUGUCCUUAAAGGCUGCUUUUAUAAAACUCUGUCUUGAGUUACAUUUCUCGACUAUUGGGGAAGAAAGGUGCCUGGCAUGAUGUGUUUCAUAGAAAGCACUUGAUCCCUGCUUCAAACACUAAACAUACUUGCAUAAGUGGGAUUUGAAAUAUAUUUUCCCCUCAUCAAAAGAAUGGUUCAUGGUCUAAAACAGGGAUGGGAAACAUGGCGUUCAUAUGAGGAUGGCCUAGAAUCCCCAUUUCUCCCCAUCACUGGUUCUGUAGCCAAGGACUGGUGGGAGUGCUAGUCCACCAGUAUCUGCAAGGGUGCAUAAUAUCAAGAGUGCCUCAAAAAUCUUAAACCAAUAAUAAGAAUUGUUUUUGCUAGGUGCAGACUCUUUUUUAAAAAUCCUGGAUCGCAUAACCACCUGAAAUGAUCUCAUCUGGCAGUAGAUUCCUUUUCUCUUUCCUCGUUCCUCUUUCCCCAUUCCUAACAGGAGGUGUCUCCUAGAUAAAAUAAUAAAACACAUCAACACACAUUCUUUUUUGUGAGGUAACAGAACAAGUUUUGGAUUCAAGAAGGGGAAAAAAAGCAAUUCUCUGCAAGUCACAACUCCCAUCAAGACAUUCCAGUGUGUCAAGAGAGACACAGAGAGAGAAUGAGACAGAGAGAGACCCACUAGCAUGAUGGGCAUGUUAGAGAAUGAGAAGAACAAUACACAGGUACCUGGCAUUCCAUUUCGGUCCAGUGCACAGCAGACUUUUGAGGGAUGCAUUCCAGAGGAACAGGGCAGGCAGCACACGCGGCUAUCCGUGGGAGACUUUAGAGGAAAAGGACAGGAUCUAUUUCCCCAUCCUGCCCACACUUUUCAGCAUCUUCUGCAAUCUAACACUUCCAGAAAGGCAUCUUGCCCUAUUUUGAUGACAAACCAAACCACAAAUGUCUAAUGCAACUGGGAAUUUUUUGGCAUCUCUAUUUCAUGUUUGUUGUAUACCCAGUGUGCCAUGCUUUUGAUGAACACAGGGCACUGAUUCUCAAUAAUUGAUCCUCUAGAUAUUUCUGACUUCAGCUUUUGUGAUUCUUUUUGAAAGUUUAUUUAUUUACUUAAUCAAGCUGUUUGUAAAUUGGGAUUUCUUUGAAUUUGGUGUACAGCCCUCCUGUCUACCAUUUCUUCCCGUACUCAUAACUGAGGAUUUGCAUUCAGAUUGCUCUGAACUGUGGAGCCAUUAGGAGAUAUGUUGAACUCCACAGUUCUCAAGAGACAAAUCUGCCAGGGGUGACCCCCUUUGGAGCAAUUACCCACAUGGAAUCUGUCUGUCACAUCUACAGAUCCUGCCUGAUGUCUGCACCAUUACAACCUGUCCCACCUUUUCCGCUUAAAAGCCUUCAGUCCAGGCCAGGUUCAAAGGAAUGACUGGAAGAAAAAAAUGUCAUUUAUGUGAAUAACUUAUACUUUGGCAUUUUUUCAGCCACUGUCUGGAGCUCAUGAGCUCCAGGGGGUGCCUGAGUUGGCUUCGUGUUAUCACAAAAGGAAAAACAUUCAGCAUGGCUCAGACAUCCAAAAAAUCUUUCCGUACAUUGUUUGAGAAAAGAAGAAGCAGAUCAGCUUAGACUGGCACUCUGUUCCUACAAUAUCCAACAAGAUGCCUCUGGGAAGCCCACCAGCAAGAUAUGUGUGCAAUAGUGCUGCACCACCAAUAUAUGUAUUUUAGCAGGCACAUCACCUCAAAUGAGGAAGACAUACAUGAUUAAUAGCCAUUGAGAUUCUUCAUGAACUUAUCUAAUUCUCCUUCAAAGUUCUCUAAAUUAGUGGGCAUCACUGCAUCUUGUUGCUGGUAAAUUCCAUAGUUUACCUAUGCAUUUUUAGACUUCACACAGUUUUGUAGGACAUCAUGUAUUACAUGGCUCAUGUUCUUUUGCCCAGGUUUUGUUCAUUUUUACAGACUA
ensembl:lncRNA